AUCGGUCUGGCGCAAAGGAUAGCGUAUCAGACUUCUACACCAAUUCAUCAAUGAAAAGGCGUGUCAAUCUGAGGGUUAUGAGUUCGAGUCUCAUGAUCGAUG